AGUCUGNAACCCGACUACAUGAAGCUGGAAUCGCUAGUAAUCGCGAAUCAGAAUGUCGCGGUGAAUACGUUCCCGGGUCUUGUACACACCGCCCGUCACACCAUGGGAGUCGGAAAUGCCCGAAGUCAGUGACCCAACCGUAAGGAGGGAGCUGCCGAAGGUGGAGCCGGUAACUGGGGUGAAGUCGUAACAAGGUACC
rnacentral:rRNA from 1 species